AUUCCAUGAUGGGGACAUUCUAAGAUGUAGUCUUGAAAGCGCUCCCAUGCUUCUAGAACAGAUUCAUCAUUUUGUUGCUGAAAACUUGUAAUCUUCCCACGGAGAGC
rnacentral:snoRNA from 1 species